rnacentral:lncRNA from 1 species
CUGCAAAGAGGUAACUUGCUAUAUAUUGACAAAAUGUACACAUUUUUUUCUUUGCCUCAUUUUUUGAUAUAACUAAAACUGUGAAAAAUGUAGUCUUGCUCCAUAACAUUUCGUUUCCCAUGUCAGGUAGUUGUGAUACUACGUGACAAUCUCAAUUGGGUAUGCUACAUUUACAAUAUUAAGGGAACACAUACCACGGUGCAUGUGUACGACCCUGUGGUCAAUGGUGAUUUCCCCGCCAUAUCCGUGGCCAACCACCAUCGUAGAGCUUAUGAUCUUUUCCAGGCACUGGGACACUGCAUGUCUAUUGUGCUAGGUGCAACUAUCCCUAGUGCACUGGGAUUUAACGUCAUCAAACACACUAGGGGUCCAGGAGCGAGGUUAGAUCUAACAAACAUUCAGUCUUAAUUAUCAUUUGUAAGUAAGAUCUUCAGGUUGCUGAAAUACUUCACUAUUUUUCUUAAAAAAACAGCCCAAACGAUGCGAUAUAUGUUGCAUAUGCCGCAAGGAACAUGACGAACAACCAAGCCAAACCUGUUCUGGAUGAGGUAUCAGAUUGUUGUGCUGCUGCGAUUUUUGGUGUCCUAUGAAAUGUUUAUUCUUAAUCAAAUGCAUAAGCAGUGUUGUUGGAAAACUCAACUAUUUUGUAAUCAAAAUGUUUCAGGCGGACUUGCUUGAACAUAGGAAGCUGCUUGGAUACCUGCUCAUGACCAUGGAUUCCAACAUUCCGAAGAUCAACGGUGUCUAAGCAACAUUAUCAUGAAGACUAUCUAUCUUUUUCUCACUAGAAAUUCAUGUUUGCGACUGAGAGUUGCUGUAUGUCUAUGUACCCAUGUGUACCUAAAAGCCCUCACACACUGUGUGUGUUGUGGUCUAUCGGUGUUAGCGUCCGUAAUUCAGUAUGAGACUAUUUGUUGUGAGUCGUAAAAUGCACUAUUUUUGUAUCUGCUGGUCUAUGAGACGGCUAAUGACUAUGUUAAGUGUUCGACAUCACUCACUGCUUGUGUU